rnacentral:rRNA from 1 species
AUUGAACGCUGGCGGCAUGCUUUACACAUGCAAGUCGAACGGCAGCACGGGCUUCGGCCUGGUGGCGAGUGGCGAACGGGUGAGUAAUAUAUCGGAGCGUACCCAGAAGUGGGGGAUAACGUAGCGAAAGUUACGCUAAUACCGCAUACGAUCUAUGGAUGAAAGCAGGGGACCGCAAGGCCUUGUGCUCCUGGAGCGGCCGAUAUCUGAUUAGCUAGUUGGUGAGGUAAAGGCUCACCAAGGCGACGAUCAGUAGCUGGUCUGAGAGGACGACCAGCCACACUGGAACUGAGACACGGUCCAGACUCCUACGGGAGGCAGCAGUGGGGAAUUUUGGACAAUGGGCGCAAGCCUGAUCCAGCAAUGCCGCGUGAGUGAAGAAGGCCUUCGGGUUGUAAAGCUCUUUUGUCAGGGAAGAAACGGUAGAGGCUAAUAUCCUUUGCUAAUGACGGUACCUGAAGAAUAAGCACCGGCUAACUACGUG